UAUCUAGAUCUACUCUAGUUUAGAGAAGAGAGGAGAGCUCUCAUCUCUAAACCCUAGCUUUUGCUCUGUCUAUGAAUAAUGAAUAAUGAUCAAGGGGUGCCUCCUCCAGGGGCCAGGGGGUCUGGUUUUAUAGUCCCCUCAAGUGAACCUGGGCCGUCGGAUCAAACCGACAUUGAUUGAACGGUUAUUCUUGAUCCUUUAGGUCGGUGGAGCAUAAUCCGUGGGAUUGAGCAUGAUUGGCCAUAGGAGGUGGGCGGGCGCCCAGUAGGACAGGGCGGGCGCCCUGUCUCUGGCCCCGAUUCGCCUCUGCUUCGGUCUUGUGGCUUCUGGAGUCUUCUAGAUGUAAGAUAAUUGCGCGGCACGUUAAUAUCUUUAUGUAAUCCCGACGUGUGGGCCUUUCUUCCUUAUUUCCUAAUAACCCCCUGCAGAAAUAGACAAACACCAAAACUCGUGGAAUUCUGUCAGAUAAAACCCUAAGUCUAGAUGUUGAUUUCAUUUGGAUCCUUUUCUUUGUUUAUUUGAUAAUUAAAUUUGAUACUUAAGGACCGUCAACAAACUCCCCCAAGCUUACCUCUUGUUCGUCCCUAAGCAAGGAUAGACACAGCAAUGGAUCAGAAGUUGUUGCAAUAUCUUAAAAAUUUGACGGUACACAUGCUUUUUAAAUAAGUUCUCAUCUCUGAGUUAGAGUAAACUGUCAAGACUUAAAACUUACUUACUUUACCUUUCACUAUGGGACUUGUAACUGUCGCUUCUGUCUUGAGUGGUUAAAAGAUAGAACAGUCUAGCCAAGUGCCAUGUCUCUUAUUCUUGAUCAGCUAUAGCUCUGGGGUUUUUUGCAGGUUUUCAAGUAAAACUCAGAGAUUCCUUGUAUGAUUCUCUCAGAUCUCUCUUUUGUGGUAUUUCUGGAUCCUUACCAAGGCAGUGAUGGUAUAUGCCUUCUCUCAAGAUAUGUAGUAUUUAUGGUACGAAGCAUAGUGACAUUGUCUUCUCUCUCACCCUACUCUAAUAAGGCUUUAAUAUCUAGAGCUCAUAGGUGGGAGAUAAAGUAUACAUACUUACAAGACAUUUAUUGCAUAGUCAAACCGUGGAUCCAAAGAAACAAAUCAAUAAGUCAAAUCAAGAUGUGCAUGUGUGGCGAAUGAAUGGUGUAUGGUGAUGAUGGUGAUAACAAUGGUGGAAGUCUAAUUCUACUUUGCUCUUUGAGGGGAUACAUACCUUCCUUGCUUUUUGAAUAGUGAGGAGAAUGAGAUGCUCUUCUUUUCCUUUUCUCUCAGGUGGGUAUCUUGUACCCCUAAUUCUACUGUCGGACACUUGUCCAUUUUUACCUCUCGUCUCACUUUUUCUUUUCUUUCGAGGUUCCAAGCACUUGCUCCUUUUUAUUUCCUCGUAUUAUAUUUAUAUAUAUAUAUUUUUUUUCUUUUUUUUCUUUUUUUAGAGCACUCAUCUCUUGAGAUAAUAUAGCAAGUGGUAGUAACAAGAUAACUUGAGCAUUUAUUUCACAAGGGAAAACAGAAAUAUUUUUGGCUAUUCUCUCCCGGAUUAGGAGUAGAAUAUUUUUGGGUGAUUCUGGAGAUGGAAUGGGUGGAUAUAUGUGGAUGGUACUUCCGGAGUAGAAGUAGCAUAUAUGAGUGAACGUGCAAGUGAAAUCUUGAUUUAACCACAUGACAAGCUCCUAAGGGUCUACACAGCUUGACCACACUCAAUGCUCAUAAGCAGUAAAUAGUAAAUGUAUGGCUUCAAAGUCUAGCAAGCAUGUAUAUAUGGCUGUGGUAGGAAUUUAAACUCUCAUCAUACAGGAACUCAUCAUGCAACAUUUUAAAGAUUUUCAAAGAUAAAAUUCUCUAGAAUUCUAGCAUCUCUAGGAACAGAUAAACAACAACUCAACCUUUCCAUAUCAUAUCCGUUAACAACUUAGACUUCAGAUCAAAUUUUCAUCCCACAAGUUUAGGUCUAGAGCAAGCUUUAAAUUAUAACAGUUAUGUCUAAACUUGAGAGAGAACUUAAAAUGUGCAAAUUAGGCAGAGCAACCAUUCUUCAUAUCCAUGCUUAAGUUUUAUUUAGAUACAGAUUAGCAUAUCCACUUUAUUUAUUUAUUAAACACACUAAGCAAAAGAUAUAUAUAUAAGCAUAAAUCUUUAUUUGGUUUUUCAUAGUUUAUAUUUUAAUAUUCUAAAAUAAUAUAAGUAUAAAGAUAGAUAGAAAAACUUAUCGAGAUAAAUGGGGGUGCUCUCCCCCAAGCUGAAUUUUGACGUAAUUUCUCUUGAUGUAGCUAGCAGGUGGCAGAAGUGUAUUUGAAAGUCAGCAGCAUUCUGACAGCGAUUAGAAUGUCCUCCGUCUGCUAGUCUUCUUGAUUCUUAAAUUCUGUGGAGCUCAAAUAGACAACAAAGCUUGUGGAACUAAUUAAGCGUUAGCAUAAAUAUCUAGCCUUCAUCACGUUGAGCUUCCUCAAUAAAUAUUACUCCUUAUUUUUAUAUUUUUAUUUUAUAAAGUAGAAAUAAAUAUUUAUUUUAUUUUUAUGCCACCACAGUGAAGGUACUUAUGGGUUUUAUGCCACUCGUAUACUCACAUGGGGCUUAGUAUUUUUUAACAUUUUUAUUUUCUUUUCAAGAUAGCAUGAUUAACUAAUAAUCUAUUUAAGGAAAGUAAAUAAUUAAAUGGAAAAGGGAAUGCAGAAAGGAUAAAUAUGGAUAACUACCAAUCUUACCUUUCGGCGAGGGUUCAAUGUUUUAAGUCUUCUUGUCAAGACUUCUCAUCGUGUUCAUUCUUCAGGUGCGUCAUUUGAUUCAGGUGCGGACCUUGACGUCUGCACCUUUUAAUACGGUGUCACCCAUGUUCUUCGUUUGCCCAGCAGUUCGAAGUGCGGUGUUAGCAGUAUCUUGCUCAAUGUGUUUGUGCUCGUAGUGUACCUGCUCAUAGAGACAAGGCAGAGAUCAAGUGCAUGGGCCCUGUUGGGGGAAAACACCAACAGAACCAAAAGUGUAUUUGUUCUUCUCUAACCUUAAGCAUAGUGAGCAAGACAAGUUGAUGGAUGAUAAGUUCAUGAGUGUAGCACUUAUAACAUUUGUCAGAUCAGAUCGCUCAACCUUAUGGAAAGAUAAUCUAUCUAUGUAUAUGUCUUUUUCUUUAUAUCUCUUAAUGAUUGAAUGUGUAACAUUUUAGCUCAUAUGAUUAGGAGUGUGGGAUCAUGGAGGUAGUACUAAGAACAAGGAUUAAAGGACUAAACAUGUUGAAUCAGUUGGGUUGGUUAAUAUAGAGUUGUAAAUCAUACACGUUUGUCUCUUUUAUUUAUAUGAACGCCAGAACCAAGGAGAAGCUUAUAAAAGUGAUAGUCAAGUACCUUAAGAUGUUACCUUGCUCGAAGAGUGAUGGUACAGUAUCAUCUUGUGGAAGCUUUCCUUUCUUAGCGGUUGUGCGUCGUGUUUGUGGCACCCUCCAUGGAUCAUCUCUCUAUGAUAAAUGAGCUAUGUCCUUCUUGUACAAAUUGUUAAACUUCAUGUGUCACUCUCUUCGUCUCUGAUGUGAGUUUAUCUCAGGACUUCCCAAAUCGAUAUUGAAAGUUUUUCUGCAGGGGUUAGUCCGACAAAAUAUACCAAUAUCUACUCAAGCAGUUUUUUUUAGUUCAAUAACCAAACUAGACUCCAUGUCUAAUCAGAUUAAGGAAGGCUAUUUAACCUAAGCACCAUGCUUAAUUUAAAUGCCAAUGGAAGUAUGGCGAGUACUUCCAAACCAACACUUACUAGUAAAUAGACAAAGGUAGCAUGACAGCAUUUAUAGAGAUGUACUCAAGUGGAGAUGA
rnacentral:lncRNA from 1 species